AGCUCAUACGAAUGCAGGUUUUUUCUUGCUCACAGUUUGCAUCCAGUUCCUAGCUAGUAGCAUAUAUAAAACAGACAAUUAGUAUAUAAAAUGAUCUUAUGAAUGAGAUUAAAACUUGGCCAAUUGAAAUCCUAGGUCUUAGCACAUAAUUGAUUUUUAUUCUAAAGUGCUUGAACUAUUUUUCCUAGGACCGCUCGAUCCAUAAAGUGAACCUAAUGGGUAAUGGAGUACCAUUUUUCUGACUUUUCAUUUCUGCCACAGUACCUUUGCUUGUUUUCUAAAAUCACAUGGUUUCCAUGCUGAAAUUAAAAUAAGGUGGAAACGAAAGUACACCAUAAACAUCAACGAACCACACAUGUUGGCCACUUUCAUAAUGGCCAUUGCAUAGAUUGAAUCAUGUAUAGAAAAAACAUGAUUUUAACAGCUUUACAAACUUCUGCAAUGAAUAUUCUCAUAUAUAUCCCAUGAAUGACUGGCUGACUGCUUUAUCACAUCAUAAAAGUUACUAUAAAGUUUGUAGUCAUACCAGAGUGGCCAUGUCCAGCACUUGAAAACAUUUUUAAGUACCAUUUGACUAGCUACUAAAAUUGAUACAACCCACCACUACAUAAACGAGAAUUAUUUUUAGUAAUUUAACAUAAUAUUUAAAAAAACAAAACAGAAAAGGUGGAGGACCAAUAGGUGUCUUUCAGCGGGUGCUUCCCCUAAUCCAUUGUCCGUCUCUACUGCCAAAUUAUUAGUAUACGACAUAAUAUAUAUAUAUAUAUAUAUAACACUCAGAGGCAAGCAUACAUACAAAAUUGCAGCAUAUCCUACAUUAAUUGCUCCAUGGAUCUAAAACUGAUCAUAUUUCCACCUAGCAUGUUGCCUUAUCCUAUCCAUUUCCAGUGAGCUAGAAUAGACCAUUGGUCUGAAAAGUGGAAACAUGCAGACCAAUCUAACAGUGUCCCUUUUGCUUUUUCUAUUAUUAGCUUAUUUAUCCAGAACCUACUUGCUCCUCACAUGUAAAUCAAACUGAUUUUUAGGUAUGAAUCUAACAA
rnacentral:lncRNA from 1 species